rfam:Neotoma lepida isolate 417 scaffold_163, whole genome shotgun sequence.
GCUCCAGUGGCGCAAUCGGUUAGCGCGCGGUACUUAUACGGCAGUACAUGCAGAGCGAUGCCGAGGUUGUGAGUUCGAGCCUCACCUGGAGCA